rnacentral:lncRNA from 1 species
CCUUUAUGACUUUGUGAGGGCAUUCAAUUCGUUCAACAACCAAAUUUUCUAGGGCUACCAACUACAUCGACAACUACAAACUGAGAGACAUGCAGAGUGUUUGAUUGCUUCGAUUCAAAAUAUCUGUCGGAAAUUUACACCCUCCAAAUUUAAUCAACCAAAUCUAAUCUCAAAAAGUCAUAAUAUAGAGUUCCAAACUUUUUGAAUCAAAGCAAAGAACAGAAACAUGUCUGCGAAGGGAAGAAAGGACAACAUGCAUCCUGUUCAAGAGUUGCUGUCCUUGCAUUCCUAAGUC